ACGACGUGAAACGCAUCGAAAUGUUAAUAAUGAUAUCUUUCUCACCAGAAUUACAACAAGUCAGCACAAAAAACCCAAAACAACCACUUUGGAAGUGACAGACUUUUAAGCUGUAUUGAGUCACCAGACGCCUUUAAAAGGAGGAUGGCUUCAGUCACCGUGACGAAGAAGAUCAUUUGUGCGGGGAAGUUUUUCUCUGGCGGACUGCAGGCAGAAUGUCAUCAAAACCCCCCCUCCCAAACGAAACAUGUUGAUACGGCGGCCUGAAACACAGACGGGCCACGCGCUGCAGGCUGAGAGUUUCCUGGCAGGAGAGCCCAGUGGAAUCAUGGGAAGGAGGAAGAAAGCAUGUGUGUGUGUGUGUGUGUGCAUUUGUGUCAAA